rnacentral:lncRNA from 1 species
UUUAUAUAACCGUGAAAUAUAAAAUUCGAAAUCCAAAUAUAUAAAAGAAAAAAAAUCUACAUUAUAGAAAUAUUUACUUGUAAGUGUUCAAUAAAAUUAAAAUACACGGAAUCUAUAUGUGAACCACUAACAAUUUUUAUAGCUAAAAUAACUACACAAAUUUAUCUAAUUCUAUAGGAAUUUGAGAAGUGUGUAAUGUAAAUAAUGCUCCACCCAAUGUUGAAGAGUAAUUGACUGCGUAGACCACAUCAUUGCGUAUUACUUCAUUUAACCUGCACAUCAAAACCACCAAAUCUAACAAUGAAAAACAUCAAACAAAUAAUUGAGAAAUACGUGACAUGCGAAAGAAACUGUAAAUAUAUUUAUUAUAAAUAUAUUAUAAAUUCUUAAAGUUAUUGCCAUGUCAUGUGUAUAAAAUAUAUUCCUACAAGAAACUGUAACAUAAAACAUAUACCUGACCCAUCACCCAAAAUAUUCGAUUUUAAUAGUUGAGUAAAAUAAUAUAUGCUAAAACACUAAUAAUGUUAUAGUCUGAUGAAAUAAUUAGAGAAGGAAGAAUAACUCCACAAACUGCAACAUCUCAAUAUGUAUGUUUUAAUAAAGGAAGGGGGUUAAUGGUAGUCGAGCCGUACCACAUAUUAGAUGCAAAUGAGCAUACGAUUGCAAAACAACUAAGCAUAUAAACGUAAUUUGAAAAAAAAAAAAAGGCAAGCAUAAGAAUGUACUAAUGAAGAAUGUUAAAGUUACUAAUCAUAUAAUUAAAACCUGAUUUAGGCUCUUCGACAGCCUGCUCAAUGUGCUACACACAUAUACUACCCCACCACCUGUUUGACAAAUUUUCAAAGAGCAAUUAAAAAAAAAAUCAGUCAAUAUCCAACAACAAAGACAAAAAAUUAAAGAUUAAAAAAUACUAUACAUAUAUUAAAGCAUAGAAUCCUAGGGGAAUGUGAUUCCCGCCAAGAGCAACUUCCUUUGGCCCAAAAGUUAUUGCCUAAUUAUCCACUGGGUUUAGAGAAAAUCUGCAGCUUUUGUUUUUAAUAUUUUAAUAUUUCCCUUUUCUUUACACAUAGCUGGUAGAAUCCUUAAAUUUUGGCUCCAGAAAAAAGCGCCCAAACUGAAAUUUGAAAUUUAAAAACCACCAAUCUUGGAGCCAAUUUGCAUAACACUCCGCCUAUAAAUAUCAUUUCAUUUCAGACCUUUUUAUUCCGCGCCGAGGAUUUGUGCGACCCCCCUUCUCCCGAAGUUACGGGGCUCUUUUGCCUCUUCCCGAAAGCUGGAACUGAAGAUACAGAGGAGGGAUGCAGACGAGUGAGAAGGGAAGAUGCAGACGAGGGAAGGGGAAAAAAGGAGUAGGGGGAGAAGGCUAGAAUUCAAGAUGCAGACGAGGGAAGGGGAAAAAGGGAGCAGAGGAAUUAAGUGUGAUUUAAGAUCAUCUGCGUCUAGCGGCGCCGCUUCCCUUGUGAAGCCCUAAAAUGUUAGAUGAGUAUUUAUACUAUUUUUAGUUUGUGAGUAAUUAGUAUUUGGGCUUUGUACAUGGACUUUAUCUUUUAAUGGACUUCAGCCUACAACACAUAAAAAGCUAAAUAAAAAUAUUUCAUUAGUUUUAUGUUGUAAUUAUGAAUUGUGAAAUUAAGGAUAAUAUUUAUGUGGUAAUUGGGCUCAUUUGAAUUAGUAAAUUCGAAUA